CGUAGGUGGUAGUGUAAGUCUGGGGUGGAAUGCCGGGGCUUAACCCUGGAAUUGCCUUGGAAACUGCAUUACUUGAGUCAGUGAGGGGAGGGUAGAAUUCCUGGUGUAGCGGUGAAAUGCGUAGAUAUCAGGAGGAAGGCCUGUGGCGAAGGCGGCCCUCUGGCGCUGGACUGACACUGAGGCGCGAAAGCGUGGGGAGCAAACAGGAUUAGAUACCCUGGUAGUCCACGCCCUAAACGGUGGGCACUAGGUGUAGGGCUCGUAAGGGUUCUGUGCCGAAGGGAAACCAUUAAGUGCCCCGCCUGGGGAUACGGCCGCAAGGUUGAA
rnacentral:rRNA from 1 species